CCUACGGGUGGCAGCAGUGAGGGAUAUUGGUCAAUGGGGGAAACCCUGAACCAGCAACGCCGCGUGAGGGAAGACGGUUUUCGGAUUGUAAACCUCUGUCCUCUGUGAAGAUGAUGACGGUAGCAGAGGAGGAAGCUCCGGCUAACUACGUGCCAGCAGCCGCGGUAAUACGGAGGAUGCGAGCGUUAUCCGGAUUUAUUGGGUUUAAAGGGUGCGUAGGCGGGCAUUUAAGCCGGCGGUCAAAUGUCGGGGCUCAACCCCGGCCUGCCGUCGGAACUGGGUGCCUUGAGUGGGCGAGAAGUAUGCGGAAUGCGUGGUGUAGCGGUGAAAUGCAUAGAUAUCACGCAGAACCCCGAUUGCGAAGGCAGCAUACCGGCGCCCUACUGACGCUGAGGCACGAAAGUGCGGGUAUCGAACAGGAUUAGAUACCCGAGUAGUC
rnacentral:rRNA from 1 species